CCUGAAGACCAAUGCGGAAAAAUGUUGCUCAGACUGAACUCUUUGUGAAUGGAGGGCACUGGAACGCCUUAAUGAGCGGUGUGAGUCUUAUAUGAAAGUACAUCAGACUGUUCAGAGCUUGGAUCAACAAGUUUAAGUCUAAGUUACAGUAGUCUCUUGCAACAGCCUCCUCGAAGUGCAACAUUCAGCACCACGGACAGCGCCAAGAGUACGCCGAUGCACCCGAGUUCGGAACUUUCCGUUCCUAUCCGCCGGAAGAGACAUUUUAAUGCUGCUCAGUGCAGUUUUACUUCAUUUUGUUAUAUAGCUAACUAACUUGCCUAACUAUUGUACUUUGUAUGUAUUUGAUUUACGAUUAGGCUACUUUAUGCAGUACUAUCUGGUUAAUUAACUCGUUUUUAAUCACUAAACCGAAAGUACUAUGUGAGCUGUAUUUUUAAACUUAACAAGUGCGUUUCUGGAUCUUUCUUUCGUAUUUGUAUUUUUUUAAUCACAGCUAAGUGCUUGAGUAUUUUUAAUGUCUCUCCAGUGUGUACUUUUAAUUCAGUGACAUUAUUUGUUGUUUAUUGGCUUAAUGUACGAUUAAGUUGUUCAUUUUUAAGUUUUGCAUUAGCCUAAACUAUUUUGAUAAGGUUCAAUUUUGAGUGGACAAUAAAACCUUUGUUUUUUUGA